GAUGAAGAACGCAGCGAAAUGCGAUACGUAAUGUGAAUUGCAGAUCUCUCAGUGAACCAUCGAAUUUUUGAACGCACAUAGCGCCCGCCGGUCAUUCCGGCGGGCAUGCCUGUCCGAGCGUCGAUGACGCCGCUCGAGCCCCCGUGCUCGGUGUUGGGGCGCUAGGUCUCCCAGAGGCCUAGGCCCCCAAGUAGCAGUGCGCGGUCCGGCUGCGGGCCCCGGGUACAGUAACUUCACUGUUGAGAUGCCCUGGGAGCCGCUGGCCGGGUCAGCCGUAAAACCCCCGACAUAGGCCUUCCUGUCCGCCCCCGGCGGGGAGGGAGACCGCCUAAUGUUGACCUCGGAUCAGGUAGGACUACCCGCUGAACUUAAGCAUAUCAAUAAGCGGAGGA
rnacentral:misc_RNA from 1 species